rnacentral:rRNA from 1 species
GACGGAGGGGGCUAGCGUUGUUCGGAAUUACUGGGCGUAAAGCGCACGUAGGCGGCGGUGCAAGUUGGGGGUGAAAUCCCGGGGCUUAACCCUGGAAUUGCCUCCAAGACUGUGCUGCUCGAGGUCGGAAGAGGAGAGCGGAAUUCCCAGUGUAGAGGUGAAAUUCGUAGAUAUUGGGAAGAACACCAGUGGCGAAGGCGGCUCUCUGGUCCGAAACUGACGCUGAGGUGCGAAAGCGUGGGGAGCAAACAGG